AACGAACGCUGGCGGCAGGCUUAACACAUGCAAGUCGAACGCGUGCAGCAAUGCACGAGUGGCGCACGGGUGCGUAACGCGUGGAUAUCUGCCUUUUGGUUCGGAGUAACCCCGGGAAACUGGGGCUAAUACCGGAUGGUUCCUACGGGAUAAAGAUUUAUCGCCAAAAGAUGAGUCCGCGUCCGAUUAGCUAGUUGGUGAGGUAAUGGCUCACCAAGGCGACGAUCGGUAGCUGGUCUGAGAGGACGAUCAGCCACACUGGGACUGAGACACGGCCCAGACUCCUACGGGAGGCAGCAGUGGGGAAUAUUGGACAAUGGGGUCGACCCUGAUCCAGCCAGGCCGCGUGAGUGAUGAAGGCCUUCGGGUUGUAAAGCUCUUUUGGCGGGGACGAUGAUGACGGUACCCGCAGAAUAAGCCCCGGCUAACUUCGUG
rnacentral:rRNA from 1 species